rnacentral:rRNA from 1 species
UACGUAGGGCGCAAGCGUUAUCCGGAAUUAUUGGGCGUAAAGAGCUCGUAGGCGGUUUGUCGCGUCUGCCGUGAAAGUCCGGGGCUCAACUCCGGAUCUGCGGUGGGUACGGGCAGACUAGAGUGAUGUAGGGGAGACUGGAAUUCCUGGUGUAGCGGUGAAAUGCGCAGAUAUCAGGAGGAACACCAAUAGCGAAGGCAGCUCGCUGGGACGGUACUGACGCUGAGGCGCGAAAGCGUGGGGAGCAAACAGG